GAUGAACGCUGGCGGCGUGCCUAAUACAUGCAAGUCGAGCGAACAGACGAGGAGCUUGCUCCUCUGACGUUAGCGGCGGACGGGUGAGUAACACGUGGAUAACCUACCUAUAAGACUGGGAUAACUUCGGGAAACCGGAGCUAAUACCGGAUAAUAUAUUGAACCGCAUGGUUCAAUAGUGAAAGACGGUUUUGCUGUCACUUAUAGAUGGAUCCGCGCCGCAUUAGCUAGUUGGUAAGGUAACGGCUUACCAAGGCAACGAUGCGUAGCCGACCUGAGAGGGUGAUCGGCCACACUGGAACUGAGACACGGUCCAGACUCCUACGGGAGGCAGCAGUAGGGAAUCUUACGCAAUGGGCGAAAGCUUGACGGAGCAACGCCGCGUGAGUGAUGAAGGUCUUCGGAUCGUAAAACUCUGUUAUUAGGGAAGAACAAAUGUGUAAGUAACUAUGCGCGUCUUGACGGUACCUAAUCAGAAAGCCACGGCUAACUACGUG
rnacentral:rRNA from 1 species